rnacentral:rRNA from 1 species
CCUACGGGUUGCACCAGUGGGGAAUAUUGCACAAUGGGCGCAAGCCUGAUGCAGCCAUGCCGCGUGUAUGAAGAAGGCCUUCGGGUUGUAAAGUACUUUCAGCGAGGAGGAAGGCAUUAAGGUUAAUAACCUUAGUGAUUGACGUUACUCGCAGAAGAAGCACCGGCUAACUCCGUGCCAGCAGCCGCGGUAAUACGGAGGGUGCAAGCGUUAAUCGGAAUUACUGGGCGUAAAGCGCACGCAGGCGGUUUGUUAAGUCGGAUGUGAAAUCCCCGGGCUCAACCUGGGAACUGCAUUCGAAACUGGCAAGCUUGAGUCUUGUAGAGGGGGGUAGAAUUCCAGGUGUAGCGGUGAAAUGCGUAGAGAUCUGGAGGAAUACCGGUGGCGAAGGCGGCCCCCUGGACAAAGACUGACGCUCAGGUGCGAAAGCGUGGGGAGCAAACAGGAUUAGAUACCCGUGUAGUC